AAAAAGUGCUACUGGCUAAAUUACCAACACUUUUAAAAAGUGUUGCUAUAUAUGGGGUCGCUAGGUAUAUAGUGACAGUUAAAGAGUGUCGCUAUAAUCUAAAAGAGUGCUGCUAAUUUACCAACAUUUAUUUAAGCAUUUAGCAACCGCUGGAACUCUACCUCGUUGGCUGCGGUGGCAGAGGAGGACGAGAGGAAGGGAU
rnacentral:lncRNA from 1 species